AACGCUGCGGCGUGCCUAAUACAUGCAAGUCGAACGCGCAGCGAGAGGUGCUUGCACCUUUCAAGCGAGUGGCGAACGGGUGAGUAACACGUGGAUAACCUGCCUCAAGGCUGGGGAUAACAUUUGGAAACAGAUGCUAAUACCGAAUAAAACUUAGUAUCGCAUGAUAUCAAGUUAAAAGGCGCUACGGCGUCACCUAGAGAUGGAUCCGCGGUGCAUUAGUUAGUUGGUGGGGUAAAGGCUUACCAAGACGAUGAUGCAUAGCCGAGUUGAGAGACUGAUCGGCCACAUUGGGACUGAGACACGGCCCAAACUCCUACGGGAGGCUGCAGUAGGGAAUCUUCCACAAUGGGCGCAAGCCUGAUGGAGCAACGCCGCGUGUGUGAUGAAGGCUUUCGGGGUCGUAAAGCACUGUUGUAUGGGAAGAAAUGCUAAAAUAGGGAAUGAUUUUAGUUUGACGGUACCAUACCAGAAAGGGACGGCUAAAUACGUG
rnacentral:rRNA from 1 species